rnacentral:rRNA from 1 species
AUCCUAACCGUGCAAAGGUAGCAUAAUCACUUGUCCUCUAAAUAGGGACUAGAAUGAAUGGCUAAAUGAAGACCCAACUGUCUCUUGCAGCUUACCAAUGAAACUGAUCUCUUAGUUCAAAAGCUAAGAUUUCCCCACAAGACGAGAAGACCCUGUGGAGCUAUUAAACCAAACUCACAAAAUGACCCCUUGGUUUUCAGUUGGGGCGACUUCGGAGCAUAAAAAACCCUCCGACACAGAACCAAUAAACCUAGAUGGACACAUCAAUACUCCAAGACCCAGUGGCUUGUUUUCAAACUACCUGAUCAAUGAACCAAGUUACCCCAGGGAUAACAGCGCCAUCCCCUCUUAGAGUCCCUAUCGACGAGGGGGAUUACGACCUCGAUGUUGGAUCAGGACACCCCAAUAGUGCAACCGCUAUUAAUGGUUCGUUUGUUCAACGAUUAAUAGUCCUACGUGAUCUGAGUUCAGACCGGA